rnacentral:rRNA from 1 species
CCCUUAGAUGUCCGGGGCUGCACGCGCGCUACACUGUAGAAAGCAGCGUGCUUUAAAACCUUUCCUGAAAAGGAUGGGUAACCCCAGCAAAAUUCUACGUGCUUGGGAUAGAGAUUUGCAAUUUUCUCUCUUGAACGAGGAAUUCCCAGUAAGUGCGAGUCAUCAGCUCGCGUUGAUUACGUCCCUGCCCUUUGUACACACCGCCCGUCGCUCCUACCGAUUGAAUGAUCCGAUGAAUACCAUGGAUUGAGAGUUCGAAUAGGUUCGCCUAUUUCAGCUUCUCGAGAAGUGGAGUAAAUCUUAUCAUUUAGAGGAAGGAGAAGUCGUAACA